rnacentral:sRNA from 1 species
AAUUCAUCGAUAACCCCAAGUGGUACACUGACAGAGGCAUUCCUUACAGACGUGGCUACCUGCUUUAUGGGCCCCCUGGUUGCGGAAAGAGCAGUUUUAUACCCAGUAAAGUACCAAGGCCUAGGUCGCCUCACCUUCAGUGGACUGCUCAAUGCCUUGGAUGGUGUGGCUUCCACUGAGGCCCGCAUCGUGUUCAUGACCACCAACCACGUUGACAGGCUGGACCCCGCCCUGAUACGCCCGGGGCGAGUGGACCUGAAGGAGUACGUGGGCUACUGCUCACACUGGCAGCUGACCCAGAUGUUCCAAAGGUUCUAUCCAGGGCAGGCACCUUCCUUAGCUGAGGACUUUGCAGAACAUGUCCUUCGAGCUACAAACCAGAUCAGUCCUGCCCAGGUGCAGGGCUACUUCAUGCUGUAUAAAAAUGACCCUGUAGGGGCAAUUCACAAUGCUGAGUCUCUGAGGAGGUGAUCAGGCUGAGCUCAGCUCAGCUUUCCUCCUCUAGUUCAAUAAACAUCUGCCACAC